GACGAACGCUGGCGGCGUGCUUAACACAUGCAAGUCGAGCGGUAAGGCCCUUUCGGGGUACGACGAGCGGCGAACGGGUGAGUAACACGUGGGUGACCUGCCCUCCAGCUCUGGGAUAAGCCUGGGAAACCGGGUCUAAUACUGGAUAUGACUCCAUGACGCAUGUUGUGGGGUGGAAAGCCUUGUGCGGCUGAGGAUGGGCCCGCGGCCUAUCAGCUUGUUGGUGGGGUGAGGCCUACCAAGGCGACGACGGGUAGCCGGCCUGAGAGGGCGACCGGCCACACUGGGACUGAGACACGGCCCAGACUCCUACGGGAGGCAGCAGUGGGGAAUCUUGCGCAA
rnacentral:rRNA from 1 species